rnacentral:lncRNA from 1 species
UUAAAUUAUUUUUUUUUUAACAAUGCAUGAAAUGAAAUGAAAUGUAUGCACUCACUACUGUAAUAAGAGCGUCUGCUAAAUGACUAAAAAUGAAGAAAAAAAAAGGCUAAAAAAUGGUACCAGGGAAAGGUUCCUGACCUGCCUCUCCCUGUGUGUGUGUGUGUGUGUGUGUGUGUGUGUGUGUGUGUGUGUGUGUGUGUGUGUGUGUGUGUGUGUGUGUGUGUGUGUGUGUGUUCCCCAGACGAGGCCCAGUGAAGCCUGAUGUGCUGUCCAUCCAGUGGUCAGGGAGAAGAUCCAACCGAAGGCUUCAAAGAAAUAACAGUCUGUCUCCCAACAACCCGCUUCUCAGCCUGGUCAACUCAGGUCUGUAUGAGGAGGACAACCAAUGGAUGACUCAGGUCAACAGACUCCAGAAGCUUAUUGACCGGCUAGAGAAAAAGGAGGUUCGUAUGGAGCCAGUUGAAGAGGAGGUGUUGGAAGGAAUCACCAAAUCACACAUCCUGAUAGUCCAGAGGCAGCUGAAUGUGUUGGAGGAGGAGCUGGAUGAGUUUCGCCUGGCUCUCAGACAGUACAUGGAGUGUGCCUGCGCCCAGACCGGCUGCCUGCAUGUGGCAGUUCAGCGACUGGCUAAAGAGUCCCGUUUCAUUCUGUACGAGUUCUGGGAACACAACCACGUGUGGAAGAACCAUCUCCAGACGAACUACAGUAAGUCGUUCCAGAGAGGCAACGUGGACUUCCUGGAGACACCGGAGCUCAUGACCACCAUGCUGGUGCCUGCCAAACAAUUUGUUCAUUUGACAUGGUGGGAUCUUUUUGUGGGAUCUUUUUGUGUCAGUUGGUAG